GUGAAGCCCACCUCAAGAUUAGAUUUCCCAUAGCGUAAGCUAGUAAGACCCCUGAAAGACUAUCAGGUUGAUAGGUUGGAGGUGUAAGUACAGUAAUGUAUUCAGCUGACCAAUACUAAUAGGUCGAGGGCUUGAUCAAAUU
rnacentral:rRNA from 1 species